AGGGGCGAUGGCGGGCAACCGACGCCGUCGUCGUCCUGGCGCGACUGACGACCGAGUCGAUGGUCGCCCCGUUCUGUCGGGGUCCUCCCUU
rnacentral:tRNA from 1 species